ACAGGGAUCUGCGCCGCCCCUUCGUGUUACCUGGGAUUAUAUGACCCUGCCUAAAGGAUUGGCACUGAAGAAUACACUAUGUUUAGUUACCCUCUCUCAGUGUUUCUGGAAUAACAGUCCAUCAUCAUCAUCCAGAGAUGAGCUACACAGCCUGUAACAGCACCACGUCACCCAUUCAUCACUUGACAACCUCAGCUGCAUACAUACAUGAGGAAGAAAAUAACAAGAUAAAGAUGAUCCUUAAGACUAUUUUGACUGUUAGAAUGUGGAACUAUUGUCAAUAUAGCUGGAGAAACGGCUGGAGAGUGGCACUGUUUCAACUAGCACUGUUCUAGGAAAGACUCAAAAGAGUCCCAAGGGAGUCUUGCGUUAAGUCCCAAGUCUAUUCACUAAAAUUCCAUAGGUCAAUCAGAGCCCAGUGGAGCCAUCCUUUGGUAAACAUACAAGACUGUUGGCAGACGCUAAGUUUCCCUUACCCUCUGAAAGGUGCUGCAUAUUAUCCAGAGGGUCACCAGCUACAUCUUCACAUCUUUAUGAUCCAGCCCAGGUAUCUCUGCAUCACUACUGCAGCAGCGUUAAGGUGGGAGAGAGUAGCAAGAACAGCCAUCAGGAUUCCUAUUCCAGCUUCAGUCUUUCUCUCCCUGUCCCCCUCUCACAGAUGCACACCUGCACAUCUAGCCCCCACACCCACUCUACUCAACAGAGGUUUAGUUUACAGUCUUUGAAAUGGUAAUCUUUGAAAAAUGGGUUUUCAAAUUAGUGGAAUUUUCCCACUUCUCUUAGGGGGAACCCACCAAUGAAAAAUCCUCCCCAUCAUCACAGAUUGAAAUUUUAUAUUCUCCUCUAAUCAAAGUAGCUUUAUAAUCAGUGGCUUGGUCACCUUCUUUCUGUUUGAGUCUAACAGAAAAUUGGUAACUUCAGUGAUUUUCUGGGUCAGUGAUGGAAACUGAUUAUUGUAAUAACUUCAGCCGGGAAUGAUGACAGCUCAGGGAAACUCCUAUCUGACUAAGCCCAGAAUCUGAAUUUAAGAUUAGAAAAUAGUUUCAGGCCAGGCAUGGUGGCUCACGUCUGUAAUCCCAGCACUUUGGGGGGCCGAGGCAGGUGGAUCACCUGAGGUCAGGAGUUCAAGACCAGCCUAGCCAACAUAGUGAAACCUCGUCUCUACUAAAUAUAGAAAAAUCAGCCAGGUAUGGUGGCAUGUACCUAUAAUCCCAGCUACUCAGGAAGCUGAGGCAGGAGAAUUGCUUGAACCUGAGAGGCGGAGGUUGCAAUGAGCUGAGAUUGCACCACUGUACUCCAGCCUGGGUGACAGAGCAUAACUCCAUCUCAAAAAAAAAUUUUUUUUAAAUAGUUUCAGCUUUACACUGAGCAAGAGGGGAAAAUGUUGUACCUUUCUCUUGGGUCUAAAGUAAUGCAUUAAAAACUUUGGAAAUUUCAAGUUUGGAACAUAGAAAAGUAUGCAAAUUCUUCAGCAGCCUUGCUUGAGGGCUUGUGUUAACACUUAAAAUUCUGAUAUGGAUGAAUUUGUCAAUCAGAAAGAAUCAAUGUAAGAAUCUAGAAUAUUUAAAAAAUAAAACCACUGACAUUAUAAAUAAUAAACUCGAAGGGAUUACAUUUGGGGAUAAAUAUUUUAAAAUGAUAGGAACUGAAAAUAACUAAAAAUAUACAGGCAAAGAAAGAAGAAAAUAAAAAUGGUACAUUACCAAAAAAAAAAAAAUCAAAUACAAGGCAGUAUGUAGAAACUGAAGAACAAAAAGCACAUAAGACAUACAGAAAACAGCUAAAUGGCAGAAGUCCUUCCUUAUCAGUAAUUAUUUUAAAUGUAAAUGUUGUAAAGUCUCCAAUUAAUGGGCAGAGAUGGGCAGGAUGGAUUUAAAAAAUGAUCCAUCAAUAUGCUAUCUACAAGAGACUCACUUUAAAAACACAGACACUGUAUUUUUACUUUGAAGAGGCUGAAAAUAAAAGAAUGGAAAAAAUAUUCCAUACAAAUAGUAACCAAAAGAGGUAUGGGGUGGCCAUAUUUUUGUCAGAUAAAAUAGACUAAAGUAUCAAAAAAAAGUUACAGGAGACAAAGGACAUUAUAUAUUGCUAAAAGGUUCAAUCCACCAAGAAGAUAGGUAACAAUUAUAAACACAUAUGCAGCCAGUAACAGGGCCCCCAAAUAUAUGAAGCAUGCACUCACAGAACUGAAAGGAGAAAUAUGACAAUCCUGCAAUAACAGUUGGAGAUGUCAAUGCUCCCACUUCAAUAAUGUACAAAAGAGUCAGAUCAGUAAAGAAAGAGAGGAACUGAACACUGUGAACCAAUUAGACCUAACAGACACAUACCAAACACUCUACCCAACAAUAUUUUUCAUAGAAUGACACAUACUUUCUCAAGCAUACAUGAAGCAUUCUCCAGAACAGACCAUAUGUUAGGCCACAAAACAACUCUUAAUACAUUUUUAAAAACUGAAAUCAUACAAACUAUCUUCUCUAACCACAAUGGAAUGAAACUAGAAAUCAAUAACAGAAAUAAAAAGGAUUAUAAGAGACUACUAUGAAAAAGUUUAUGUCAGCAAACUGGUUAUAAGAGAUUAAAUGGACAAAUUCCUAGAAACACACAAACUACCAAAACUAACAAGAAAUAAAAACUCUGAAUAAAAUUAUAUAUAACAAAGAGACUGUAUCAUUAAUCAAAACCUCUGAACAAAGAAAAGCCAGGACCAGGUCACCUCACUGCUGAAUUCUACCAAAUAUUUAAGGAAGAAUUAACACCAAUCCUCAAACUAUUCCAAAAAACUGAAGAGGAGAGAACACUUCCUAACUCAUUCUAUUAAGCCAGCAUUACCCUGAUACCAAAUCCAGACAAAAACACUAUAAGAAAAGUAACUACAGGCCAAAUACCUUAUGAAUAUAGGCAAAAAUACUAAAAAAAAUUUAGCAAACUAAAUUCAGCAGCCUAUUAGAAUUACAUACCAUAACCAAGUAGGAUUUAUCCAAGGAAUGCAAGAGUGGUUUCACAUAUGAAAAUCAAUGUAAUACACAUCAAAAAAAUAUAGAAAACAAUAUGAUCAUCUUAAUUGAUGGAGAAAAAGCAUUUGAAGAAAAUCCAAUAUUCUCAAGAUAAAAAUACUCAAUAAACUAGGGAUAGAAGGGAACUUCUUUAACACGUUAAAGACCAUACAUAGAAAGACACAGCUAAUAGCAUACUCAAUGGUGAGAGACUGAAAGCUUUGUCCCUAAGAUCAAAACAAGACAAGGAUAUGUUCCUUCAUCACUUCAACAUAGUACUGGAAGUCCUAGACAGAGCAAUUAGGCAAGAGAAAGAAAUAAACAGCAUCCAAAUUAUAAAGGAGGAAGUAAAACUAUCAUUCCUUGCAGGUAACAAGAUCAUAUGUAUAGAAAACCCUAAAGACUCUACAGAAACCCUGUUAGUGCUAAUAAUCAAAUUUAGCAAAGCUGCAGGAUACAAAAGGAACACACAAAAAUUACUUGUAUUUCUAUACACUAGCAAUGAAAAAAUCCAAAAAGAAAUUAAGAAAACAACUCCAUCUACAAUAACAUCAAUAAGAAUAAGAUGCUUAGGAAUAAAUUUAAGAAGGCAAAAGACUUGUAUGCUGAAAACUACAAAAUGUUGCUGAAAUUAUAGAUGACCUAACUAAAUGGAAAGAAAUCUUGUGUUCAUGGACUGGAAGAUUUAAUAUUAUUAAAAUUGUAAUACUACCCAAAGUGAUCUAUAGAUUCUAAUUUAAUGCAAACCCUAUCAUAAUUCCAAUGGUGUUUUGUUGUUGUUGCAG
rnacentral:lncRNA from 10 species